AAAGUUUAAAAAAAAAGUUUUCCCAAUUCCUCAAGCCUAAAUUGCAAAUAAUGGCAACUUCAAGUUUAGAAUAUGAGAAAAGAAGAAUAAUUAGGCCCAAUUUAAUUUAGGCCUAAAAAUAAUUACUUUUAGUUUGCUGAGUAAUCAAAAUAACCCAAAAUAUUUUAAGCAAUAAUGCUCAUGGGCUUCUACAUAAAUGAAUAUCAAGCCCCAAGUCCACAUGACCCAAAAG
rnacentral:lncRNA from 1 species